rnacentral:lncRNA from 1 species
GACACCCCUCUAUCCCACCACCGCGAGCGCCGGCCGGGCAGCCAUCCCAGCGCCGAAAAUCGCGGGUGAAUUUGGAGCGCCCCGCGCGCUCGGAAUCGGGCUGGAAACCUAGGGUUUGGACCUGGCCGUUGGGGAUUUGGGGCACGCGGCGCGGCGGCGGAGCUGGGAAAUUUGCUAUGGAGGUGGAGGUGGAGGGGAGCCCGAACCGAAGCUGCAGAAGGGGAGAGUGACGACUUGACUUUUUU